rnacentral:lncRNA from 1 species
AGUUUAAAUAGUGAUUUUUAAAAUGCCAAUCAAAAAAAAAAGUGCAAACAAAAUUAAAUAAUUCUAGCAGCAUACCCGUUGCAUUUUUAGGAAAGACCAAUUCAUGGCCACAUCUUCAAGGUUGGGCUUAUUUCUUUGAUUUUUCCAUUUUAAAGACAAACAGCAGAUGUAACCACUAUAAUAUAUAUAAAUAGUCAGAAAAUUGUCUUUAAUAGUCUACCAUACAAGUGUAUUCUGCAAAUAAAAUGAAUUUUACUUUAAAAAGUAAAGGCUGUUUAUUGUUCGGCCUUUGGUUCCACUGCUUGAAAACCCCAAAAUAACAAAAAAUAUCUCCCCUCCUCCCACCCCCCCAAAAAGAACCCUGCAGCUCCCCAAAGUUGGUAGACUUUGGCAACCACUGAGCACAUGACAUAUUACGCGCACCAGCGUCUUCCGCUACUAGGAGCAGCCACUCGUUACGAGAAACUCAAAGUGAUCCCCAAGAAAUCUUCCCUCACAAGACAGGUGUCUUAGCACUUCAUCAGUUUUAGUACAUCUUAUAUUGACACAAAAGUGCUUAUUAGUUUAAAUGACAAAAAAAAAACUUUGUAAAAAGUAAAAUUUUGCAUUAAAAUUUGAAAUCACACUGUAUCCCCCACAGGCAUGUGCCUUUCGAAUAAUUCUGUCUUGUUUCUGAGGUCAAUCAUUUUGCCCCUACCCCCACCCGAGCUGCUGUAGAGAGAGGGACUAAGUGACCCCCCCAUCAGUGUGGCCACAGCUGUUGGGCAUCUACUGGUCACUACACCACAACUAUCCUUAUACAGUCAGUUUACUGUCAUUACGUGGACAAUCUGGUGAUUGGAAGCCACAAUACAUUAAACAAAUAACUGAAUUUAAAAAGGGGUGGAAAAGUGUAUUUUUAACAAUAAAACUGGCACAAAAAACAUGUUUUUAUGUUUGUCAGAAAGGCAACUAAAUACUCAGCUUUCUCCUUAACAGUGUUCAGACCUUUACAAAAAAAGCAAUUCAAGACAGUCUUAUUAGAGUCUUUGUAUAUACAACACAGGAUAUUAAGUUAUGCCCAGUACUAUGUUAGUGGUCAAUCAAAUCUGGUAUGUAAAAGUGAUGACGUUAGGGAAGUUAUUUUCAGACACAGUACAACAAACAUUCAUAUAAAAAAAGUAAACUCCACAUAAGUGAACUGUGGUUUUUUUCCCUUGGUUUGACAACAAAUGUUUUAUAUAUUAAAUCAAUGGUAGUGUUUGCAUUCAAAUGUUGUGUCGCAUAUAAAAUUAAAAGUGCCAUUUCAAAUCCACAGAAGUCAUUUCUAGAAUGGUGGUAUGACAUGAUGAUGUGCAUGAAUUUGCUCUACACGGAGACACGGAAACUCUUGUUUCCAUAAGAAAGAAAUGCUACAUUUUAUGAAAAACACAAGUAAGAGAAAUGUAUCAUUUCCAUUUGCAAUAUAAAACAUUCACACUUAUUUGUCCAUCUGAUAGCACUGAUCAGACCAGAGAGCUAGGACAAGACCCUUUUGCAUCAAUGGAACUCUGUGAAGGUAUCCACAGACCAUAAGGCAGGGAUUGGUGCAAGCCAAUUCAUCAGAGUGCAAUUACAUUACAAACCUCCCUCAAACUUUCUGUAGCACACUGCAUUAUGGUAAAAUGAGAGGUUGGUCACCCAUUCUCUGUUAGUAGGCCAGCCUGUGGUAGUAUAAAAUUUUUUUCUUUAAUUUAAAAAACAAAGCAGGAGCUAUUUAGAAAACACAAUGCAAAGUUAAACUAAUUUUGUAACUGCUGACUUUAAACACACUCCACAGUGAAUGCCCCCCCGACGCACAUGCGUGGAGCCCAGCUCGUCCUGAGGACACGGCCUGGGCCACACGUGUGAGUCUCAGGCAGCUGCCAUCUUCCCCACCCGUGUCAGCUCCACCUGACUCAGGCACCCCCACACUUUACACAUCUUUCUUAAGUUAGAGAUGCAUUCAGAACAAAUCUUAUUCCCAUUUUCUCAGUAUUUAGUUUGGAAAUACUUUUAAAUCUUAAAAAUGAUUAUUCGACUUUCUACCGAACACACGGUAUUUACUAACACCGCUCGUCUCCUCCUUCCUCAUCUCCUCCAACGUUCAGCUUCCCCACCGUCACUUCUCGAAUUCCUCCUUUCCGUCGUUCUCUUUCCUGGACUUGCUGCUACUUAAUCUGCUUCCCAAGAACAAGUGAAUUUGCUAACACGCAACUGGUCAGACUAACCGCCCUCUGAUCAUUGAUUUCCUGGUCUCAUAUGCUCCACCCUGAAAGAAAGUGGGCCAUCUUUCUCUCGAUCUACCCUCCCUUUCACAAAAGGCCCUGCUGCGCUUGCUUCUCACAAGAGAGCCACAUGCCUGAGAGUCCAAGGGUUAUCCUUAACAAAGGGGUCUGACACGUAACUUUCCUAAAUGUGCAUUUCAUAUUUGGACAAGCCAAUGAAGUAUUUUUUAAGUUCAUCUCCCCUGCCCCAAAAAACUGAUAGCAUGUGCCAUAUCAGAAAAAUCCUUGUCUUAGCAGAUCAAUAUACAUAGUUAUUUGGUCAUUUUACAUAUGCACUUUUUAAGGAGGAUCAGGCUUCAUUUUCUGUUGAAGAGUUUGUUACCAUGGAGUCUGGUUUUCGAGUCAUUCUAUCCAGUUCUUCCUGAACAUUUGUCAACACAGUCUUUUGUCCUUAAAAAAAAAAAAAAGAAAGAAAGAAAGAAAAAGCAGCAGUGAUGGGAAACAGAAAAGAAUUUUUUAAAAGGAACAUUUAAAAUGAUACAGAUUUCUGUAAUCACUUGUGGUGAUAAUAACCUCAGUAAGAAUGAAAGCAAGCCUUUUUUUCAUUGCAGUGAUGACGAGGAGAUACCCUAAUUCAACCCUUCCUUCCAAACAUGACAGGUCCGUGUUCCUCUGACUACAUAACUGCCCCCUGCCUGGGCAAGCCUUUGUGCCAAAUAUAAGGGCCUUUCUGAAAACACUCUCACCACCCACCCCUGACCCCAUGCACUGUCAUCACCUCCUUCUUAGAGGUGGUGUGUGAGUUUCUGGCAUAAGGCAAACUACUUUCUGUGCCUCAGACAGAACAGGUGUUUAGGUUUUGUUUUUAAUUACAAUACUUUAACUCAUAUGAGUACCCUGGAAACACCAUGCUUCAAUAAGAAUAUAAGACUAAGGUCAGACGUUUCAAUCCUGCACAAAGUCAGUGCUCAUAUUUUUUUGUUUUCAAAUGCUAGCUGGGACCUGGAAAUGACCCUUCUCUCCUAUCAGAAAUACCAGCCCACAGCCUAGGCCACCAGACCAGGUGGAGUCUCUAAGAACUCAGGAGCCCCUGAAGGACCGGCUGACCUGAGGAUGGAGUGAUCUCCUGAGGGACUCCUUUGAUCUGAAAACACCAAUUAGGGAAAACACUGUAUAGGAUAGUAUAGUCAAAGGAAAGUUAAAAACAAACCCAUUUUAAAAUGGCCUAGUGGGGCGCGUGGGGCGCUCAGCCAGUUAGUGUCUGACUUCGGCUCAGGUCAUGAUCUCAUGGUCCCUGAGUUUAAGCCCCACGCCGGGCUAUGUGCUGACAGCUCAGAGCCUAGAGCCUGGAGCCUGCUUCGGAUUCUGUGUCUCCUUCUCUCUCUGUCCCUCCCCUGCUCACACUCUGUCUCUCAGAAAUAAAUAAACGUUUAAAAAAAAAGAAAAGAAAAGAAAAGAAAAAAAGCCUGGAGCUUCCCAGCAAAAUGGGUAAUUCCCAAGGAACUCGGCUCUUUUGUUUCAGAGGCCUCAAGACAUACACUUGCUCUACUGGCCCACACGAAAGGAGUGUGGGUUGCCACAGAGAGUGUGCCUGUGACAAGGGGGGAGCUUCAUGGAGCAGGAAUUGAUGACCCUCCAGUGAGACAGGCUCAGCUCAUGGCAAGACUGGGGACAGUGAACAAAUAUCCUUAUAAAACAUAACAGAAAAUUAAAUAUAAUAAAUAAAAUAUCAGUGCCACACCCUAGACCAUGACCUCCAACAAACAGUUCCAAUACCAGGGUCACAUAUUCAGUUUAGGAUAUAACUCAACUCACCCAAUAGUCAGUUCCUGAGAACCCAAUGUAUACAAAUCCCACCUUUAAAUGUGCCAAAGAAACCUGCAUGCUGUAAAGUGUACUGCUCAGUACAAGGUGGAGAUGUGCUUACUUGCUUGGCUGUUGGGAACACGGAGGACGUGCACAUCAGGUAAAGGCAUACGCUCCUGUCCACUCCCCCACCUCCAGCACUGCUCAACCACAAGAAUCAUAGGUUUCCAAGGGCCCUUUAGUACCUGACUUCUUGGCUGCGCUCUGCACACCACCAGCACCAGGACUUCCAGGAGAACCUGUCUUUUUACUCAGCAGACUAUUGAAGAAGCUGGCCAACACACCUUCACUUGCUGCGUUAUCUAAGGAAACAUUAAGAAAAAAAGCCUUACACCACCAGGAUGACUCAAUUACCACCACCACAAAACUAGUUUUCAGCUUGGAAUUAUCCAUCUGUGGCUAUCAUCUUCCCAGGACACUGAGCACAUUCAUUAUUGCCACUGCCAAGGCUACUUCCCUAUUAACAUGGUAAGUGCAAAUCUGUUUAGAUUUCCCACCUAUCUGGGGACAUAAUAGAACUCAUGCUCCACAUCAUCUCCCUGUCCAUGAGGCAGUGUUUCCCAAAGUUUUAUAAGCCCUUAACAUUCCAAGGCUGAUGUGAAAAGGUCUCAUUCUGAGUUGGAGAUAGCUACUGUACACAUAAGAAUUAAAUAAAAUUUUGUUUUGCGAGUUUUAUUGUAACCAACACAUUUAGAUAUUACUAAGUCACUAAGAUAAGGGCUACUUAAACUUCUAAGUAACUGAGCUUGAAAAGAGAAGUGAAGGGGGAAGAAAAUGCCAUAGUUCAUAUAUGAUAAUCAUUUAAAAAUGAGAAACAAAAUCAAGGACUCAAAAUAUACACUGUAUUUUAUUUUACUUAUUUUUAAAAGUACUCACCACACCCAAUAUGGGGCUUGAACUCACAACCCCAAGAUCAAGAGUCGCAUGCCCUAGGGGCACCUGGGUGGCUCAGUCAAUUAAGCAUCCGACUUCGGCUCAGGUCACGAUCUCAUGGUUUGUGGGUUUAAGCCCUCCAUCAGGCUCUGUGCUGACAGCUCAGAGCCUGGAGCUGGCUUCGGAUUCUGUGUCAAUCUCUCUCUCUGUCCCUCCCUUACUCGUGCGCUCUCUCAAAAAUAAAUAAACAUUAAAAAAAAAAAAAAAGUUGCAUGCUCAACCAGCUGAGCCAGCCAGCCAGGGGCCCCUCAAAUUACACAUUUUUAAAAAUUUACUACUUAUUUACUUAAGACUUAUUUUUAUUUUGGGGCACCUGGGUGGCUCAGUCAGUUAAGCAUCCAACUUCAGCUCAGGUCAUAAUCUUGCAGUCUGUGAGUUUGAGCCCCGCGUCAGGCUCUGUGCUGACAGCUCAGAGCCUGGAGCCUGCUUCGGAUUCUGUGUCUUCUCCUGUCUCUGCCCCUCCCAUGCUCAUGCUCUGUCUCUCUCUCUCUCUCUCUCUCUCAAUAAUAAAUAAACAUUAAAAAAAAAAAAAGAUUUAUUUUUAUCUUGUUUUGAGAGAGAGAGAGAGAGAGAGAGACAGAGAGAGAGAGAGAGAGAGAAGUGGGGCUCACCCAAAGUGGGGGCUCAUGCUCACCUGAAGCGGGGCUCAAACUCCCAAACGGUGAGAUCACGACCUGACUCAAAGUCAGAUGCUUAACCAACUGAGCCACCCAAGCGCCCUUAUUUAUUUUAAAAGUUUAUUUAAGAGAGACACACAGUGAGCGGAAGAGGGGCAGGGAGACAGGGGAACAGAGGAUCAGAAGCGGGCUCCGUGCUGACAGCAGAGAGCCCAAUGUGGGUCUCGAGCUCUGAAACUGCAAGAUCAUGCAUGACCUGAGCCGAAGUCAGACGUUCAAUUGACUGAGCUACUCAGACGCCCCCUUAUUUAUUUUUAAUGUUUAUUUAGUUUGAGAGAGCGAGCGAGCAUGCAAGUGUCAGGGGAAGAGAAAGAGAGAGAAUCCCAUACUGACAGUGUGGAGCUUGAUCCCAUGAACUGUGAGAUUAUGACCUGAGCCAAAAUCAAGAGUUAGACAUUCAACAGACUGAGUCACCCAGACACCCCUCAAAAUACACAUUAUAAAGUGAUUAUGUUGUAUUCCUCUUUGAAAGAACCUGCAUGGCCUGAUACAGAACCAAGUGUAAGGGCCAUUGAUUCCAACAAAGGAACCAGCCUUAGUGUCUGCCAACCACGAGCCCCUUCCCUUUGAGCGAAGGAAAGUGGAAAGCAGCCCCUUCUUGGGGAAGAGAACAGCCCAGUUGCCACGGGCCUCCACGUUCCAAACCCAGCCACAUAGCCCCUUCAGAGCUCAGGCCCAAGACUAAACACUCUCCACAGAGGCAGGAUACAUACUUUUGAUGUUUGGGUCCGGCUUCUUUACUGAUGUGCCUGGGGAGGCACUAGGCACACUUGCUGGCCCUCCCCGGCCCUGAGUUCUUGGAGAGCCAGAGGGUCCUCUCGCAGGGGAUUCCUAAGUCCAAAACCAGCUCAAGUUACAUACAGGCAUAAAAAUAACAGGAAAUACACAUCCCCAAAACGAAGACAUGCUCUGCAGGAUAUUUUUCACAGCGUAAGGAGAAGGGAGGUAGGACUGGGAGUUUGCCCCCAGCUCAGUCUCUUUCUAGACCUUAGUUUCUCCUUAGAGAAGAGACAUCAAGAUAAUGAAACCUGCACACUCUAUUUCCCAGAGCUGUAUUCCUUUCCUGAGUCUCCUACUAUGUUCCUGGCCCUGGGCUUUUAGGGAAACCAAAUUCCCUUUGAAAAUACAAAAACCCACACAAAUGUAAGCUCUUACAAAUGAUGGCAUAAAGUGUGAAGACACCUACAACACUGAGCCUUGACCCCAUUUAGUUUAAGGUACUCACAGAAGCUCUCGUGGGCGUGGCUGGCUGCUUGGCAAGGAGUGACUGCAAAGAGAGGGACACACUGGCCAUUAAUAGAGGCCUGCAGAGUGGACGGAAAGUCUGGAGAAACACUUCCCAGUACUCCACUAGAGGGCGCCAUUAAUAACAACCAAGUCACGUUUUAUAUUAUACAUGCAAAAUGUUUAAAUUCAGAAAUUUGCUACAUGGUGAAAAAAAUAAUUCAAGUAACCAGUUUUGGAAGCAAGGAGAUCACAGAAAGGAGGACCAGCUGGCAAAAAAACCCCAUCAACACCCUCCGCAGAGCUGCCUGGACCAUCAGGAAGACCUAUGACAGGUCUAAGUGGCAUGUCUAACAAUAGUCCUAGUAAAACAGGAAGGAGAGACUGGGUUUGCAUUCUGAACUGUCAGCUUGUGGAAGUUACUCUCCUCACCUACUAAAUGGGUACAUCAGCUCACCUGCCUUCAUGCACAGGGCUGUGUGGGGCUAUGUGAAAUAAUGGAAGUGAAGUCAGGGCACUUGGUAAACUGUCAACACAGGAAGUAUUAUGCCAAAAAACCUAAUUUCCAGAAAGAAAGGGUACUUAAAAUGAUACCAAGCCUAUCAUUGUUGAGAAUCUGCAAGCAGACAGGGGAUCACCUGAGGCAGCUGGUCUAACUCCUACUCUGUACCAAUGCCAGAAAUGGGAGGGAACAAGGAGACCUGGUAGCAAUCCCUUUAAUGCUGCAAGCUCUUUGUGAUGCCCUCCACCUCAUCCCAGGGCACUGGCAUUUCAUGCAAGAGAAGGCCUCUGCUCUGGCCUCACUGGUUUUUCUUACCUGUUGCUUCAUUAGGAACACCUGCUCAUCCUCGGCUGCCAACUCUUUGUCAUGGACCAGCUGUGAAGUGAAGUGACAUACUCAUUUGUGGUCACAGGCCAAGAACACCCGAACUACUGUCAAAAUUCUCACUGAAAGAAGAAUCUUGGGCUCAGGUCUCAACACGGGUCCAGGGAGAAUCCCUGCAGCAACAGCGCAAUUAUGUUUUUUUAGCCUGGCACCAACUCUAUUCCAAGACCAGCCAUGCCAUGUGGCCAACUGACAUUUUUUUUUUUUAAAUUUUUUUUUCAAUGUUUAUUUAUUUUUGGGACAGAGAGAGACAGAGCACGAAUGGGGGAGGGGCAGAGAGAGGGAGACACAGAAUCGGAAACAGGCUCCAGGCUCUGAGCCAUCAGCCCAGAGCCUGACGCGGGGCUCGAACUCACGGACCGUUCCAACUGACAUUUUUAAGUGGCAGGUUCUCAACAACCCCUCUCAGAUCAGGGCCUGAAGAUCAGGGGAGCACAGGGAUCUCCUAACAGUAAUCCCGAGGUAGCGGUGGCAUUGUCAGGACUUAGUAGGAAACUUCAACCCAACUCCUUGCGGCCUUGUGGGCCCUCCAGCACUCACAUCCCACCACCUGGAGCCAUUUACAUUCACACCAGGCUUCACCUAAACUUUUUUUAAGAGGCUCUUGGAUUACAUUUUUCUUCCCCCCAAAAUGGUUCAAUGUGUAAGACAUAUCUCUUUAAAUGUUUCUUUUCCCAUAAAAAAAAAAAAAAACAACAACAAAAAACAAAAAACACAGAAAAACGCCUACAACUCAAAGUGACUGAUCUGGGUACCUUUCUCACAGGAGGUUUCACAAUAAAAUCUUCAUAUGCAUCUUCUGGCUUCACAGUUGUGAAAUUUUCAUGUAAAAUAGCUAUUUUCUUUUCGUUGUCCCAGCCUGCAGGUCUAAAAGCAAAGAGACAGGGAUUGAUUUGCUUUUCCUGGGACUGCCUUAUAGCACAUGUUAGGUAACAUUCCGGGUUAGCGAGGACUCCUAGGUGAGACCCAUUCCCACAAAAUCUGGCCUGUAGCUGCUGGGGCUGGCUUGUAGCUUGUGGCAGGAAAGCCAAAAUUUACUGCCGGCAUAACCAAUCAGAUUGACAUGGCAGGUUCUGUCCUGUACUGAGCUCAUGGGGCCCAAAACCUAGGAGCCAGAGUCAGAUCUUACUGACUCCACAUGCUGACCCACAGGAAGUGUUCAGAGUUUUCACACAACUCCACCCAGAAGAGCAAGGACACAAUGGGGCCUUGUUCCCACAGAGCGGAGGACAUAGAGAGCAGCACAGACACAGCUCCGGAUGAGACCGUUUCUCUCGGGCUUUGGUGUAGAAGAACUCAGAAGUCUUCUGAAAACAGUUUUCUUGUGGACUAGUUCAUUAAUUUUACUGGUGUGGGAAGAUGUACCGUGGAACAAAGCAGGGCAGCAGGAUCUGCACUCUCCUGGGCUGCAAACCAGAGGGACACAAGGAGUCCUUGAGGCUCCUACAUAGGUGCUGCCCUGCUUGAGAUCACUAAGCAGGAUGGCAUCCACGUUCCAUUAAGUUAAGCCACGGUAGCCUACUGUUCCCAGAUUCUCACAGGUCUCCCUUUCUCCACCUAAGUCCUACUUCACUGCUCCACAACCAAGAGGGCGCUCUUACCCAGGGUGCUCCACCCAAAUGGUUUUGCUGACUUCACCAGUUCCCAAACAGGCAAACUACCAAAGGAUCAAAGAUUCAAAGGGACAGGGUAUGAUCAAGAUACAGCCACAACCCAAGCAACCUUCGGAAGGUGUGAGAUGCUUCUCCUCUCCAGACCAGCCCUGAUCCUCAACCUGUCUUCCUGGGGCGUCCUGUUCCUCAGGAUCACAAGUAAUUUGGGCACUCACGUAUCAUUCACUGAGCUUGUGUCUUUGAUGCCUGUGUGAUUGCUCUGGACAGCAAUCCUCUAAAAGCCACCCAAGGCUCUAGCUCUGCCAUCUGUGAGGAGCCCAAAUGAGGCUCUCCCUAAAUGUUCAGGAAGCAACCUAUUCAGUGCCAAGAGCUCUUGGCUAUCACAUCUUCAGCCUUCUGAGAGGCUGUUCCUCCUACCCCUCCAUUCCUUCUAGCCUGCCUAGCACACACACACACUCAGCCUUCCAGCAUCACCCCUCUGCCCUCCCUGCCACACUGCCUCCACUACCACUCCAUUACUGCUCCACCCCUGCCCUCCAGUGCUGUGUGCAGGGACCAUAUCUUGUUCACUUCUGUGUCCUUAGCAUAGAACCCAGACACCUAGGAAGUACUCGGCAAUUGCUGAAUGAACUGUAAUUCUGAAGUCAAGAGGAUAUCGAAGCCUACAAACACUGAUCUACUAGCACAAGUCCUCUCCGAGGCCACACAGCUUCAU